rnacentral:rRNA from 1 species
UACAGAGGUCUCAAGCGUUGUUCGGAUUUAUUGGGCGUAAAGGGUGUGUAGGCGGCGCGCUAAGUCGGGUGUGAAAUUUCGGAGCUUAACUGCGAAACUGCAUUCGAUACUGGCGUGCUUGAGGACUGGAGAGGAGACUGGAAUUCAUGGUGUAGCAGUGAAAUGCGUAGAGAUCAUGAGGAAGACCAGUGGCGAAGGCGGGUCUCUGGACAGUUACUGACACUGAGACACGAAGGCCAGGGGAGCAAACGGG